rnacentral:rRNA from 1 species
AACGAACGCUGGCGGCAUGCCUAACACAUGCAAGUCGAACGAGACCUUCGGGUCUAGUGGCGCACGGGUGCGUAACGCGUGGGAAUCUGCCCCUUGGUUCGGAAUAACAGUUAGAAAUGACUGCUAAUACCGGAUGAUGACGAAAGUCCAAAGAUUUAUCGCCGAGGGAUGAGCCCGCGUAGGAUUAGCUAGUUGGUGAGGUAAGGGCUCACCAAGGCGACGAUCCUUAGCUGGUCUGAGAGGAUGAUCAGCCACACUGGGACUGAGACACGGCCCAGACUCCUACGGGAGGCAGCAGUGGGGAAUAUUGGACAAUGGGCGAAAGCCUGAUCCAGCAAUGCCGCGUGAGUGAUGAAGGCCUUAGGGUCGUAAAGCUCUUUACCAGGGAUGAUAAUGACAGUACCUGGAGAAUAAGCUCCGGCUAACUCCGUGCCAGCAGCCGCGGU